UACGGGGGGGGUAAGCGUUGUUCGGAAUUACUGGGCGUAAAGGGCUCGUAGGCGGCCAACUAAGUCAGACGUGAAAUCCCUCAGCUUAACUGGGGAACUGCGUCUGAUACUGGAUGGCUUAGAUUCGGGAGAGGAAUGCGGAAUUCCAGGUGUAGCGGUGAAAUGCGUAGAUAUCUGGAGGAACACCGGUGGCGAAGGCGGCAUUCUGGACCGAUAUUGACGCUGAGGAGCAAAAGCCAGGGGAGCAAACGGG
rnacentral:rRNA from 1 species